UAUGGCGGAUGCCUAGGCUUUCAGAGGCGAAGAAGGACGUGGUAAGCUGCGAAAAGCUCGGGGGAUUGGCACACACGAAUUGAUCCCGAGAUGUCCGAAUGGGGCAACCCGGCAUAUUGAAGAUAUGUCACCCAGCAAUGGGAGCAAACCAGGAGAACUGAAACAUCUAAGUACCCUGAGGAAAAGAAAUCGAAGAGAUUCCGUAAGUAGUGGCGAGCGAAAGCGGAUUAGCCCAAAAGUCUUUAUAUAUUUAGAAGAAUGUUCUGGAAAGAACAGCCGUAGACGGUGAUAGCCCGGUAUUCGAAAGGUAUAUAGAGAUGAUAAAUGAGUAGGGCGGGACACGUGAAAUCCUGUCUGAAUA
rnacentral:rRNA from 13 species